rnacentral:misc_RNA from 1 species
CAACAGUGCACCGUCAGGAGUCUGCACAUGGAUCCAAACUUAAAACAAAUUAACACAGAAGGAAUCAUAACAGUAUCAAGUAAUUAGUAUGUCACAAAUUUACUUGAUAAUUUAGUUUCAAUCCAAAUUUCAUUCCAGGAAUCAGGGAUACUUUUGCAAGUUUAAGGACUAACAGAAAUUUGGUGCCUUAAUUGUCAGAAUAUCCAUUCUCAUUUAAAUACAUAAACAGCAAACAUACUUAAUGAAAAUGCAAUAGAAAAUGCAAUAGUCAUCCACUUGUGAAAACCAAAGAUAUCAAAACAGAUUACCUAAUGUAGGAAAGAUUUGACAAACCAAUCUAGUGAUGUUGAUGCAGGGUGAUCAGUUUGAAGUUUGCAAAAGCUUGUUUAGCAGCAAGAUUAUAGAAGAUGUGUGGCAUCUAGAGUUACAAAACAACCAAGGAUAUGGAGUACUUUGAAGGUGCAACUAAACAUAUCAGGGUGGUGUUUAUGGGACAGCAAAAAAAAUAGGGGAUUAAAGCCUUUUGGAUGGUUAACAAGGAAUAGAAUAAGGCUACGAAAUGAUUAAAGCAAGAAAAGAAAUAAAGAAUGAAGUUUGGCAAUUGCCAGCAUUGCAGUGAAUAAUACAAGUGUUUCAGCAAGAAAG